rfam:Oryza sativa Japonica Group DNA, chromosome 5, cultivar: Nipponbare, complete sequence.
AAUAAAUGUGGUUUUACACUGUUAAUGUCUAAUGUUUGGUCGUUCGUUUUAUUUAAAAAAAUUUAUGAUUAGUAUUUUUAUUGUUAUUAGAUAAUAAAACAUGAAUAAUACUCUAUGUGUGACUAUCUUUUUAAAAAAAAUUAUAUUUUUUUUAAAUAAGACGGACGGUCGUGGAUAUGGAUAUCCACGGCUAAGCUUAUU